rnacentral:rRNA from 1 species
AUUGAACGCUGGCGGCAGGCCUAACACAUGCAAGUCGAGCGGAUGAAGGGAGCUUGCUCCUGGAUUCAGCGGCGGACGGGUGAGUAAUGCCUAGGAAUCUGCCUGGUAGUGGGGGAUAACGUCCGGAAACGGGCGCUAAUACCGCAUACGUCCUGAGGGAGAAAGUGGGGGAUCUUCGGACCUCACGCUAUCAGAUGAGCCUAGGUCGGAUUAGCUAGUUGGUGGGGUAAAGGCCUACCAAGGCGACGAUCCGUAACUGGUCUGAGAGGAUGAUCAGUCACACUGGAACUGAGACACGGUCCAGACUCCUACGGGAGGCAGCAGUGGGGAAUAUUGGACAGUGGGCGAAAGCCUGAUCCAGCCAUGCCGCGUGUGUGGAGAAGGUCUUCGGAUUGUAAAGCACUUUAAGUUGGGAGGAAGGGCAGUAAGUUAAUACCUUGCUGUUUUGACGUUACCGACAGAAUAAGCACCGGCUAACUUCGUG